GUGCUCUGCUGGUCUGAGGACACAGAGCUGAAUCUGGGAAUCCCUGCACACUCCCAGAGACCAGGGCCAAAGACGGCACUCAAGGCUGGAGAGACUGUAGAAGACCUAGUAGAUCUCUUUAUUCAGAAUGUGGGGGAUGUUGAGAGUGAGGUGUUGUUUGUUCUUAGGAAUAUCCAGGAAUUAAGUAGGAAUUAUCCAGGUGUGUCUUAGUUAGGGUUACUAUUGCUUUGAAACAUCAUGACAUCUUGUGGCAGAAAGGGUUUAUUUCAGCUUAUUCUUGCAGGCCCAUCACUGAAGAAGUCCAGGCAGGAACUGAUUGACACAUCUCCUCUAACAUCUCCUAAUCCUUUCCAAACAGUUAUUCCAGCUGUGAUCAGGUACUAAAACCUAUCUAUGAACCUGUGGGGGGCCAUUCUCAUCCAAACCACCAUAGUAAAAGAUUGGGCCUUCCUUCUGAAGGCAACGAAAGAAUCUUACAGGUGCUUUAAAACAAUGUCUUAAGGUGGUAGUUGCAAAAUUAAAAGCAAUUAAAAAAAUCAUCAGACACUGAACUGUCACUCAAAAUAAACAUAUAGCUGUGCAAAGGACUCCAAG
rnacentral:lncRNA from 1 species